CUGCAAACUGGAGGGUUGGUUGGAAAUUUGAAUAUGGAGCAGUUAACACCCCUAGAACCCUGUCAAGUCUGGGCAGGCUGGCGACUGCUGCCCCUCCCCCAUGCACCCUAGUGGAGAGCUGGGGGCUUGGGCUGCAGGGGGAGUUCAUCCAGAGAGGCUCUGAACUGGGAGACGCCUCAGUGAGAAUGCUUACAUCCACACGCUUUUCCAUACGCUGCCCCCAAAACGCUUUGUCAGUCUCUCACCUCCUGGCUUGAGAAUAAAGGAUUUCUCUCUAAGGAAACCAACCAAGCCAAUGGCAAAGACCUACAGAUACUGCCAUCUGGGGCUCCCAGUGGACCAGCUGGACCCCCAGCCCAGCACCCUACAGCGAGGCCCACAGUGGGCGAGUCCUUCCCGCACAAGGAAAGCUCCCCAGUCAGACCUGAGUGCCCCGCUCUUCAAUGUGAGUGGACAGCUGAGGAUCACUUAGGCCUCUGAGGAAAGUCUGCGCUUGAAAGUUACCCGAAUAAACAGAAGGUGAGAAGCAGGAAGGAAGGGACUUAAGGCAGGGAGAAAACUUUUUAAAAGAGUAAUUGAUAUUCCCAGAAAACUAAGAGAAGAUACCACAUCCAAAAAGUAAGGAACAAUAUUUCAUGUAAUUUUUUCCCCAGCUUUUUUUGUUGUGACUGCUGUCGAACUGAUUCCGACUCCUAGCGACCCUGUGGACAGCAGACUGCAACCCUGCCUGGGUUUUUGGUGCCAUCUCUCCCCUUCCGGCGCUAUAUCAGACAAUGAAUGCUCGACUGCUAUUUGUGGGGUCUUUUGGAAGUGGGUGACCAGGCCCUUUGUCCCAGUCUGUCUGAGUCUGGAAAUCCUGCUGAAGCCUGUCUACCACACCACAGUGUGACAACUGACAGACAGGUGGUGUGGCUCUCUGACUGGAAACAAACCCGGGCAACGGCAAUGAGAGUGCCAGAUCUUAACCCCUGGACCAUCUUUCCACCUUUACCGAAGACAUAACUGGCAUACGACAUUGUGCGGAGGGACGGGAUGGAUCCCGACCAGGAGGUCCUGCCUGGAGCCUCAGGCUGUAAGCUCGUGUUAUAGUCACUCAGCAUCUAUUAAGCAUCUGCCAUGGGCCAGGCCCUCUUCUCAGCACUGGGAACACAUCAAUGGACCAAAGAGACAAAGCCCCGACUUGGUGGAUCUAUAUUCUAGUGUUUAUCUUUGAAGCCUCACGUUUUACUCGAAACCAUCACAGAAGGAGCUGCCACCUGAAGGGACACAGCCCCGCCUGGAGGAGAGCAGAACCUGGGAAGGGGGCAAGUUCAAAGGCACUGGAGACCCAGAGACGACUGCAGAGGUGAGAUGCCCGUCCUCAUGGAGCUGCCCUCGAGUAGGGGCGUCACAGGACAAACCCGUAAACCUGUUACCCACUUUAACAAGAUAAUUCCGACUGGUGAGAAGCACCAUGAAGAAAGCAAAGCAGAGUCAUCGGAUGGAGCGUGAUGGACAGAGGCCACUUUUGGAAGGUCCUUCUAGGCAGGUACCAUUUCAUUGGCUGAGAACUGAAGGAUGAGAAAGAGGUGGCCCAGGCCGGGGGAGUGGCGUGUGCAAAGGCCUGGGGGUGGGACGAGUUGGCUCUCAAGAGAUUGUGUGUGAGAGAACUGUGGGAUUUGGAGAGUUAAGCGUGUCAAAGGAGCAAGGAACAUCUGAGCUUGAAGGUCACAGGAGACACCUGAGCCAAUACGCUGGGCUCUGAGGCUCAGCAGCAAAGGCAAGCAGACAGUGGAAGGUCUGGAGUCGGGGGCAAAAGUGAGGCAUGCAAGAGACAACUGGGGGAGGCUCUAGGCUUUUACGUCCGAAACAACGGGUUACUGCCUGUUGACUGUGUGCUGGGCACCAGAGACGCAAUCAGCAAAGCCAGUUCCCACCCCGAAGGGGCACCUGGCCUCAUGCAAAGACGUCUGGUCUGCAGGGUGUGAGCAGAGGGGACCCAAGGACACACGAGAACUUUCCAGAGCAAUCUCCAGCAGAACAGGCAUGGGGUUUGUCCUGUGCAACUCCAGAGAGCAGGGGCAGGUGGGCUAUGCAGCCCCCCGAGGAAUUAAAGCUGCCUGAAAACGAGAUGGGCCACCGGGGGAGGUGACAUUUUGGGAGCCUUUCAAGCCAAUGCUAAUGGACUACUCAUGGGGGAUGGUGUGGACUGACGGUUCCCAAAGGGUGUGCCAUGGAACACUAGUCCGAGACGCUCCAUGAGGAAACUUCCCCAACCACAUAAAUUUGGGAUACACUUCCUGCUAUUUACUACUUCUGGUAAUUUUAUAAUGCAU
rnacentral:lncRNA from 1 species